UGUCUGAUGCAAUAAUGGAAGUGCAGGAUAUAAAUGCCAAGCUUAAGGCAUCAAACAAACACAGCCAGAAAGCUCACAAAACAAUCAUAACUAAGGUCAUCUACAAACUCAAAAAAAGAAAGAAAGAAAGAAAAAAAAAUUGUCUACAAACUGGCACACAAAAAACACAACAUGCAAAUCAGCGUAGGUUAAAUAUAAUGCACACAAACAACCAUAUAUACAAUAGAUAAAGGAACUUAGCUGUACAAAAU
rnacentral:lncRNA from 1 species